UACAGAGGGGGCAAGCGUUAUUCGGAAUUAUUGGGCGUAAAGGGCGCGUAGGCGGCUUGGCAAGUGGAAGGUGAAAUCCCUCGGCUUAACCGAGGAACUGCCCUCCAAACUGCCUCGCUAGAGUCCGGAAGAGGAGAGCGGAAUUCCUGGUGUAGCGGUGGAAUGCGCAGAUAUCAGGAAGAACACCCGUGGCGAAGGCGGCUCUCUGGGACGGUACUGACGCUGAGACGCGAAAGCGUGGGGAGCGAACAGG
rnacentral:rRNA from 1 species